AGAGUUUGAUCAUGGCUCAGGAUGAACGCUUGCGGCGCGCCUAAAACAUGCAAGUCGAACGAACCCAAUCUUCGGAAAGGGUUAGUGGCAGACGGGUGAGUAACACGUGGGUGACCUGCCCUGAAGUGGGGGAUAACUACUCGAAAGGGUGGCUAAUACCGCAUACGCUUGCUGAUUCAGUUCAGUAAGUAAAACUACGGUGCUUCGGGAGGGGCCCGCGGCCGAUUAGCUAGUUGGUGAGGUAAUGGCCCACCAAGGCUCUGAUCGGUAGCUGGUCUGAGAGGAUGAUCGGCCACACUGGCACUGAGACACGGGCCAGACUCCUACGGGAGGCAGCAGUUAGGAAUAUUGGACAAUGGGCGAAAGCCUGAUCCAGCGACGCAGCGUGGGUGAUGAAGGCCUUCGGGUCGUAAAACCCUUUUCUGGGGGAAGAGGAAGGACGGUACCCCAGGAAUAAGUCUCGGCUAACUACGUGCCAGCAGCCGCGGUAAAACGUAGGAGACAAGCGUUAUCCGGAUUUACUGGGCGUAAAGCGCACCCAGGUGGCCUUGUAAGUCGGGCGUGAAAUCUUCUGGCUCAACUGGAAGGGGUCGUCCGAUACUGCAAGGCUUGAGAGUGGGAGAGGGAGGCGGAAUUCCCGGUGUAGCGGUGAAAUGCGCAGAUAUCGGGAGGAACACCAGUGGCGAAAGCGGCUUCCUGGCCCAUUUCUGACGCUCAAGUGCGAAAGCGUGGGGAGCGAACGGGAUUAGAUACCCCGGUAGUCCACGCUGUAAA
rnacentral:rRNA from 1 species